UUUAUUCCUUUAUUUAUUGAAUAAAUAAUUAUUAAAUGCUUGUCAUGUAUGUUCCAGGCUUUGCUCUAGUAAUUUCGGAUAUAUCAAUGAACAAAGCAGGAAAGAAAAAAAAAAAAGGCAAAAUCUCUGCCUUCCGGGAGCUCACAUUCCCACAGGAGUCACAGGAAACAGCCAAUGACCAGUAAGCAUCACAAAGAAGUCAUGCCAAAGAACCAGACAAAUAGCUGGAAGGAAGAGGGGAACUCCUUUGUGACGCCAAAUGGGCCAAAGGGUCGCUGGGAAAACUAAGCCUUACUGUCCAUCUUGCCUUCAGGAUAAUGUGAAAUAUGGCCUAAUUUUUGAAGUUUUUUUCUUAGAAAUUUUACUGAAUCCAAAAUAAAACAAGAAGAUCAUGGUGGAUAUAGCUUCCAAAUUUAUUCUGCAAUAAAACAGGUUUGAAUCUAGAUAUACAAGCAAAUAGCAAAUAAUAUACAUUCUUUUUUGCAGAGUCCAGAAUUCUCUUUUCUCAACACUAGAUGGCAGUAGAGUUAAAGAAAAAAAUCCCAGCAGUUCUUUGUACAGGGAUUUGGUGAUUUUUCCCAUAAAGCUGCGAUGAGGAUGAACUCAGAGCAAAAUCUAUGGGGAGUUUUAUACCUGGUAUACUAUUUGUAGCCUUCGUAGAGGGUUCUCCAUUCUAGUCACACCGAUUUCCUCUCUGCUGCAGACAUUGGACACUGGCCUAGUGUUCCAGAAGCUCUGAGUUCAGAGUCCUCAUGUACUAAUGCCAGCAACAGUCAGUUUCACAGUGCCUCUGGCCAGCUGCACUCUUAUGCAACUCAACAAUUUCUCACCUUUUCUCCUUUUAAAAACAAUAUAAGCAACAAAACCACCCAGCUCCCACUGCUGCAUAACCCAGAAGUAUUGGAAAGAUCACUUCAUACAAUUCUUGAGGCAAUCCUGCAGGAUCAAGCAAUUAGGUCCUUGGAGUGGUGGCCAGCUCAUCAAAGCCUCUUUGUACUGGUGCUUCCCCUGAUCCUGUUUUGUUCCCUUGUCCCUCUUUCCUGCUCCUAGCUAGGAUCACACUCCCCAAUAAAGUUUUUGAACAAUGA
rnacentral:lncRNA from 1 species